CAGUCGCCACGGGAAUACGUAGGGUGCGAGCGUUAAUCGGAAUUACUGGGCGUAAAGCGUGCGCAGGCGGUUUGUUAAGACAGAUGUGAAAUCCCCGGGCUCAACCUGGGAACUGCAUUUGUGACUGUAUAGCUAGAGUACGGCAGAGGGGGAUGGAAUUCCGCGUGUAGCAGUGAAAUGCGUAGAUAUGCGGAGGAACACCGAUGGCGAAGGCAAUCCCCUGGGCCUGUACUGACGCUCAUGCACGAAAGCGUGGGGAGCAAACAGGAUUAGAUACCCCAGUAGUCCCUGUCUCUUAUAC
rnacentral:rRNA from 1 species